UGCGUAGGCGGGCUAAUAAGUCAGUGGUGAAAUCUCUCGGCUCAACCGGGAAACUGCCAUUGAUGCUGUUAGUCUUGAGUUCGGUUGAGGUAGGCGGAAUGUGUAAUGUAGCGGUGAAAUGCUUAGAUAUUACACAGAACACCAAUUGCGUAGGCAGCUUACUAGACCGACACUGACGCUGAGGCACGAAAGCGUGGGGAGCGAACAGGAUUAGAUACCCUGGUAAUCC
rnacentral:rRNA from 1 species